UUCCCAGAGCAUAUCACCCUGCAACUCACAACUGGCUUAGCACCACUGAAGCUAAGCAGGUGUGAGCCCAGUCAGUACCUGGAUGGGAGACUUCCUGGGAAAAACUAAGGUUGCUGCUGGA
rnacentral:rRNA from 1 species